GUCUUUUUGAUUAAUAAUUUAAAGUCUAAUCUGCCCACUGAUAAUAAAUUAAAGGGCUGCAGUAUUUUGACUGUACAAAGGUAGCAUAAUCAUUAGUCUCUUAAUUGGUGACUUGUAUGAAAGAUUUGAUGAAAUAUAUACUGUCUCUUUUUAAUUUAUAAAAUUUAAUUUUUUAGUUAAAAAGCUAAAAUUUGUUUAAAAGACGAGAAGACCCUAUAGAGUUUUAUAUUUAUAUAAAUUAAAAUUUUAUAUAAGAUUUAAAAUUUUAAUUUAUAUAAAUAUUUUAUUGGGGAGAUAGAAAAAUUAAAAUAACUUUUUUUAUAAUUUUACAUUAAUAAAUGAAUAAAUGAUCCGUAAUUUACGAUUAUAAGAUAAAAUUACCUUAGGGAUAACAGCGUAAUUUUUUUUUUUAGUUCAAAUAAGAAAAAGAGUUUGCGACCUCGAUGUUGGAUUAAGAUAAAAUUUAAAUGCAAAAGUUUAAAAUUUUUGAUCUGUUCGAUCAUUAAAAUCUUACA
rnacentral:rRNA from 1 species